UGCUCUGCUGCCUUAUAAACCUGGGUCAUUGGGCUCAUUGCGCCUUCCGAGACCCAGCGGUUUUUUUAUUUUUUUAUUUUUUAUUUUCGUUUUUUACAAAAAUAUAUUUUUGUUUUCAAAAUUUACAGGAAUAUACCCCGGCCGCCCCGCUGCCGGGCGGCCGGGACCUGGUCGCCCCGCUGCAGGGCGGCAGGGGCUUUUCUGCAAAAAAUUUCCCGGAGAAUUUACGCUGAAGCCCUUGGAGGACCGGUCGCCCGACAGCGUUGCGACCGCCUCCCAGAGGCCGCCGGCCCUCAUUUGCUUCACCAAAAAUAUGUGGUGCAUAUUUUUUUUUGCUUAUGUUUCAAGGAACCCAGUUUACCUCUAUGACACCAGCCACCAGCUGCAGGGACUUUAGGAUCACAACAGUUCACCAGAGCGGGGCCUUCUUCGUAUCACCCUAUGCCGCCACCAGGAGGAUAUCAAGGAGUUUAUUCCUAUCCACCACCACCACCACCACCACCUCCAACACAGGGGUGGACAACAACGAGGCCUCCUUCGACAACUUUACACGGUUGUUUGCUACGCCUGCCCAGGACGAUGAUCCCAACUUGCAUACACCUCUAGCUCAGUUACGCCGUCCUGCCAGAGACGUGAGGCCACCGGACCGUCAUAGCUACCCUACAGAUCACGUACCAGCACAACGUAAGAGAGGUCGGCACGGUAGGGGUGGUUAGUUGUUGCCACUUGUUUCUCUAUUAUUAUUAGGGACAUGUCGUCUUGGUUUUCAUAUUUUGUACUCAAACUUCGUUUAUGCUACCUUGCAAUGCAAGUACAUUUUUGCAGUACCAA